UUAGACAUGAUCGAGACCCUGAAGA
rnacentral:piRNA from 1 species